AUUUUCCACAUCUCUUGCUCCUACAGAUUUACUGUUUUCUGAAAACAAGACAGACAGUAGUUUCAGCGGACCUUCAGAAACUCAGCAUGUUCCUGAGAAACCCAGGGCACUCAUAGAACACCGUGCCACUAACAACCCCGCAGGAGAUGUCAAAAGUCUGGGAAUGUCGCUUCAGACAAGUCUCAACAUCCAGUGGGAGAAGCAGCACUCAGCCCCCCAUAAAUCAGAAACUGAAGCUCCAUCAGUGGACAUGACAUAAGGAACUGGAAGGGGAGAAAACAGGGGUGAAUGGAGGUUUCUGGGAUACCAGGGUACUUCAGGAGUGUUGUAACGGGAUCUCUGGAUUCAUGGAUGUCAAGCAGCAGUAUCCCUGGCACCCGGUCAUGGGCUAAGAAGGGAGCUUGUUAGCCGAGGAAUCCCAUAUAAAGAGCAGGCACUCCAUCACGGGAGGAGGGACAGCCUUUGUCCCAAGCCUGACUCGCUUAGAGCACUUUCCACAGAGGCAUAGCCCACUUACCAUGGGGGGCCAAUUUAGCAAGCACUUUUUAUUCAGAACAUCUGUUGAGAGUCAAGAAGCCAAAGCCCAUCCAGAGGGAAGUGGGUUCAGCUCUAGCCUAGGGAGCCUUCUAGGAAGAGUGUCUUUGAUGCUGGUGGAUGCAGGACGUGUGCUCACAAACUCUUUGAAAGAACAAACUGGUGAUAGAGGAAGUGCUCGGUACAAUCAAAUGUGCUCAAUGCCUUGCAUCACAGAAAAUGCAUGUUACAUGCCUGCAGCAUCCAGCAACUAUCAGUAUGCAUCUCUUGAAUUCUUCAUGGUGUGAGGAGAUGCCAGGGUCAAGGUGAGAUAUUUUUUUCCCUCUGCUGGGUAAUUUAAGUUCUCACUGCAUCAUGUUGCUAGCUAAUAGCUUCAUGGUCCUUUUUGUUUCAGACCCUGCUGUGUAAAAUAUUGGUUAUGGUUCUCUUGUGCCUUCUUUUUUUGGCAGUCGUGCUCCCUGUUGUAGACUUUCAGCCACUGAAGAAGAGGAGCAGGAAGAAGACAUUUUUCCUCCCUACCUUGUCUAAAAAAUGCUGCUAUAGUGUGUAGAAUUAUGGGUGAUUGUACAAUGCAAUCAGCUAGGGCUUUUCUUUGAUAGAAUGCCAGCGAAAGAGGGAGAGAGUUCCUUUUAAUAAAAGUACAUCGUGUGCCUUCUCA
ensembl:lncRNA